UGGGGAAUUUUGGACAAUGGGCGAAAGCCUGAUCCAGCAAUGCCGCGUGUGUGAAGAAGGCCUUCGGGUUGUAAAGCACUUUUGUCCGGAAAGAAAUCCUUGGCUCUAAUACAGUCGGGGGGAUGACGGUACCGGAAGAAUAAGCACCGGCUAACUACGUGCCAGCAGCCGCGGUAAUACGUAGGGUGCAAGCGUUAAUCGGAAUUACUGGGCGUAAAGCGUGCGCAGGCGGUUUGCUAAGACCGAUGUGAAAUCCCCGGGCUCAACCUGGGAACUGCAUUGGUGACUGGCAGGCUAGAGUAUGGCAGAGGGGGGUAGAAUUCCACGUGUAGCAGUGAAAUGCGUAGAGAUGUGGAGGAAUACCGAUGGCGAAGGCAGCCCCCUGGGCCAAUACUGACGCUCAUGCACGAAAGCGUGGGGAGCAAACAGGAUUAGAUACCCUGGUAGUCCACGCCCCUAAAACGAUGUCAACUAGUUGUUGGGGGAUUCAUUUUCCUUAGUAACGUAGCUAACGCGUGAAGUUGACCGCCUGGGGAGUACGGUCGCAAGAUUAAAACUUAAAGGAAUUGACGGGGUCAUAGCUGUUUCCU
rnacentral:rRNA from 1 species